AAGGAGCUGGUCGCGGAAGAUGAACUCGACAUGGGUGAGUAGGAUCUUGAGCGCGACGACGCCGACGAGGAACUUGAGAUCUGCAACGGCGUCGCCAUGCCCGAAGCCGCCGGGCGAAUCUCCUUGCCAGCGUCACCGUCGCCUCAUCCAUGCCGUCUGCCUUCCCCGUCCAUGCCGGUGACAAUAGGGUUAAGGAGGAGUAAGGGAUCAUAGUUCGACAGCUUAGACGCGCACAUCGCCCACGAUGAUGCCAUGCAACUGAAAGGGCUGACUUCAUGGAUGGGAUGAUACUUUGUUUCCGUCAAAGCUUUUACUGUUGAACUUCAUUGAUGCGACGACAGGCUGAUUUCAGUUGUCGUUUGCUGUAGGAAUUUGCAGAGUCUUCGUGAGAGCAAGUCUCCAGCAGAGCAACAACAACUAAGGUUAAAGAAGAAGAUACCGCCACGGAAAAUACUGGUUCCCUUACCCCCUAUCCAAUGCUGCUAAUGCCUAUGUGAUCUCUAACUGCACAUUGCAAGAACACGUCAAAUUUGCCAUCGUUUGAUGUUAACUUUUUUUUUGUUUAUGAGGGAAUGAUCUCUGGGUAUUUUUUUUUAGCCGCCUACAUAAUGCUUGAAAGAAUCACGAAUUCAACAAUUCAAUCUUUGUCAAUAUAUGUGAGCAUGCUUCAUGAGUUCUGGGCUAAAAGUGUAGAAACUGAAUAUUCAGAGUCCAUUCGUACUGUAGAACUAUUAAAUAGAUCAAUUUUUGAAAAGCAACAGUAUGGCAUAAAUGUUUUAAGAUCCUUCAUGAAAAACUGAAACAUGAUCAGUUUGCCAUCUACAAUCAGAUGCUUACUUAGUUAAUUUGAUGUUAAAUUUUCCCGUAAAAUAUGAGAGUUCUUAGUUGCUGAAUUCUGUUUUCCUACGAGACAUUGUCUAGAUAUGUAGAUUAAAGAUGGGCGAUGGGUCGGCGCUUUCUGCAGAUUAAGGAAAUCUUUAGGGGAGGCGCUAUGAGCUUUGGACCUCUGCGGAAAUGACGGGGUCCUUGGUCAAUGGAUGUGCCUGCUUACAGGUUUUAUGUGGCAGAAAAUCCAAUUCAUCUGAAGAGCAUAAUUGUUGAGCUAUGACUGAUCAUCACUCUAAAAAAAUACGCCCUUACUUAUGUGGACACCCGUCAUUGCUGAAGAAAUGUUCUCCCCAUAUUAUGCAUUGGAACAUAUUGCAAGAUAAAUUAGCAAAGGUCACCUGUUAGAGAUCUCAUAUAUCUCUUCUAUGUCCAGUCCAAGCUGUGAAGUUUCUUAUUUUUAAAUCACGAGAAUACACUGCCUUGGAAAUUUCAAGUUAUUUGCAUGCCAUGAAAUUGGGGAAACAUACUUCUUUAGGUACAGAUUAAAAUUUAAUGAUGGUUGACGAUGGUAGACAAGCACAGGUUUUUUAUGUGGACUGCUGCAACUAUGAAAUAAAUUUUGAGGAUAUUUGUGAAGUUUGGACCGUUGGACAAAUAUUUAACUUCCCGUUUUGGAGUCGAGCUACAGAAUUAUCAUGGAUGAAAAAUACGAAAAUCUGCUACAUUAGUUCAUGACCUUUUAAGUCACCUGUAGCAUAUUGCAGCUUUAUGCAACUUCAUGUUAGUGCAUACAUUUCCAUUGCGCAGACUACAUAUUUACUUAUUUGUUAUAUAGUUGCAUUAUAACAUCAUGCAUAUUUCCAGUUUAACUGGCCUUUGCAUAUCUUUGUACUUUGUUGUGCAGGACUUUAUUAUAUUCCAUCCUUGCAUUCCAUUUUAGAUUUUUCUAUUUUCAUCUGAACAAGAUUAUAGGUGAUUGUAUUGAAGAUGCACGAGAAAGAAAACGUCAGCCAAUUGAUCUCACGAUUUCUCUGUUUUUGUGCAGUAUUGAAUCAGACUUCCCUGGCGACAGCGAUGAAGAUGGGCCUUCAGCAAACAAAGAGAGCAAAGAAAUCAUGGUCCUCGACUCCUCCAACGUGGACGAUGACGAUGAUGGCAAGCAUUCACAUUUCCAAAGCCACAAAGCAUCACGAUGACGCGAGCAUUCAUAUCUCCAAGCCACAAAGUAUCGAAGAUGGUUAUCCUGGCAUUAGCUUCUUUAAGUUUCCAUCACCCCAUGUAUGUCCAUAUUUUUCAUUUAGUAAAUCCGUUGUGGUUUCUUUCAUGUCCAACAACCUGGCUUGAUGGGCUUUGGAGAGAUGUUUCUAUUGUUAACCGACGCUUUCCCUCAUGUAUGCAAGUAACUUUUAAACGAUCCUACUUGCCAA